CCAGGAAAAGCAAAAUAAAACAAGAAACAAAUAAAUACACCUACCAAAGACUUAAUAGACACAGGUGGUUUACAGGAAAACCUAGCCCCCAGAAA